GGAGCUGGGGCCGGCCUGGGACCAUGGGCGUGAGUGCAAUCUACGGAUCAGUCUCUGAUGGUGGGUCGUUAACCUCAGUGGGGACUCCAAGAUUUCCAUGAAGAAAAUCAGUUGUCUUCAUUCAAGAAUUGGGGUCUGGCUCAGAAUUCCUGCAGCUGGUGAAAAUCUGUUUUCUAGAAGAGGUUUAAUUAAUGCCUGCAGUCUGCCCUGAGCUGUAGCCCCAGUCCCCUUUGACAUCACCCAUUUUCCAAUGGAGGAAGCUUCCAGGGAGACAGGGUACCACUUGGAGAGCCCCCAUGGCCACUUCAGAUUGCAGCCAUUGCCACUUCAUCUCACCUGAGGUGCUGAGGGGAGAGUCUAGUUUACAGGGCAUCCUUUUGUCACCUGCUCGCCACCCUUAUGCCCCUGGGUGUGACCAGCUUCCUCAGAAAGAGCUGUAAUCAAUAGCAUAUUGAUUAAAAAGCAUAUUAAGAUGAAAA
rnacentral:lncRNA from 10 species